CCUACGGGAGGCAGCAGUGAGGAAUAUUGGUCAAUGGGCGGGAGCCUGAACCAGCCAAGUCGCGUGAGGGAAGACGGUCCUAUGGAUUGUAAACCUCUUUAGGCGGGGAGCAAUGCCGGGCACGCGUGCCCGGAGGGAGAGUACCCGCAGAAUAAGCAUCGGCUAAGUCCGUGCCAGCAGCCGCGGUAAUACGGAGGAUGCGAGCGUUAUCCGGAUUUAGUGGGUUUAAAGGGUGCGUAGGCGGAUUUUUAAGUCAGCGGUAAAAUGUCCGGGCUCAACCCGGGCCGGCCGUUGAAACUGGGGAUCUUGAGUGGGCGAGAAGUAUGCGGAAUGCGUGGUGUAGCGGUGAAAUGCAUAGAUAUCACGCAGAACUCCGAUUGCGAAGGCAGCAUACCGGCGCCCGACUGACGCUGAGGCACGAAAGCGUGGGGAUCGAACAGGAUUAGAUACCCUAGUAGUC
rnacentral:rRNA from 1 species